UGGCCAAGAGUGACAGGACACC
rnacentral:misc_RNA from 1 species